CCCACUCCCCUUUCUCUACUCUUCUUGCCCAGGGUAGAAGAAUUAAUCGCCGGGAAGCUUCUCUCUCUAAACGGGAAUUAGUCGCUAGGAAGUUUACGGUUCAAGAAUUGACAUUAGGUGGUGUCUUUGAUCAAAUCCUCUCACCUCGUGAGAAGCUUCGAGCGGUCUUCCUUCAGAGCCCUUUGUCCCACUCUGAUUUAGUUCUUUAAUCGGGCGGUGAAUGUGAAGUUCUUUGGUUUGCAGCGGGUAGGUACAGAGAUGCGGUGGGCAUGUGGACAUAUGUGUUGAAGACUACCUACUUCAAAUGUUAAACAUUUGGAUUUAGAUAUAAUGUCUCAAGGUUUACUUUGUCACAGAAAAUACAACUAUAAUAAUCUGGAUGGGAAAGGUUUAUUUCAAGCAAUCGAUGCUCAUGAUGUUAUAGUGAAGUGCAGAUUACAGAUUUUCUUAUCUUACUUUGGGGUUGCUGUGUUUCUUACGAUUACCUUUUAUUUAAUUAUGAUGAAGGCAUCUCCUAACCAUUCUCAUGGCUUUUAUUGUGUGUAUCUGUAGGUUUUAUUUGCCAAAAGACAUGUUUCAAGGGAGGAUUUUUAGAAUGACACUUUGUAUAGGUUGUGGGCAUAAACUUGCUCUUGCUUUAGUUGCUGAUGCCUCACAGAAUUUUUGUCUAACAGGACUUGUGUGUCAGCUCCAUUUGGAAAACUCUAGUGUGUUUCCUCAUGGCAAAAGUCUUGCAUUACAAUCCUGUAAAGAAUGAAUCAGUGGUGAUUAUGCCAGCAUUUGGUGUUCAACAUGAAACUCAUUACUGGAGGAUGGAGAUGCUGGAUUUGCCUUACAUAAUCACUUGAGAGCAUGUUUAGGAGUUGGGAAAAUACAUGUCCAACACAAAAUGGACAUAUAAUGUGAAGCAUUGGCCACUAAAGAAGGGUUGUUGUUUGCUUCAAAUCGAGGAUUCAUUCGUAUUCAGAUUGAAACAGAUUCCUCGAUAUUGUGCUACACAUUUACCAAAGACGUUGCUCCACCUUUGGCAUUUGCGGAUCAUCAUUCAGGAUAUCAAAGCACUUCUUCAAUAAUUUACUUAUUAUAUUUUUCUAUACUGUAGUAGAGAAUGUAACCAAACAACUAAUUGGGUUACCAAAAAAUACUAGGGUGUCUAAUGUAUCAAUGGUUUGAUAGGACAAUUAUCCCCCCGAGUUAUCCUUGUAUUUGCUCAACGACUAACAGUUCUUACCGUAGAACUUUAACUCAGGAAUCUAAGUUUUCUUUUUCUUGAAAUAAAAAUGCAGUGCUUUAAUAUGUCUAUAUUUUGAUGCAGUGUUGGAUACGUAUAUAUCUUUCACUUGACACUACCUACUUGGGAAAAGAAGCUAUGUGGUCAGUCUGGCUCGGAUUAAAGUUGGAACAGGUUUGUUGCUGAGGAGAAACCCAGACCCUACAUAAGCUGGACAAGCAGCAGAAAUGGACAAAAGCUGACAACUCAUUUCACACGCCAACUCUGACCGACAAAAGCAGCUGGCGAGUGCUCAUAUCCAUACAUGCAAUGCUUUUAUACCAACACUUGGGAAUGGGUUCCCGUCUGAGGCUGUUCUGAAGAGGAGACCACGAAUUGCAGUACACGCGGAACUAUUCAUUUCAUGGUAUCCCUGACGAGCAGGAGGAGCCACAGAAGCGGAUAAAAUGGUGAAUCCAAGCUGUAAAGGGAUUAAAUACUCCUCAAAGCGACCGACAUGGACACACAAGACAGCAGGAUGGGAAGUUUGGUUUCAGUACGUGAAGGCAGUGGUGCUUCAAAUUAAAGCUGGUCGGAGGGCUUUAAAGGCAUUUCAGUCAAUUGGAAAACGUUGAUGAAAGGUUGAAUGCCUCGUGUCACAAAUUCUGCAUCGAUUAUAGAGAAGCAUUACUUGUCCCGUUCGAAGAUUAUUAGCUGUUGUGGAUGGGUUGGCGGGACAAAUGGCAUCUUAAAUCGUACCGAUAUCUGAUUAAAAAUCACUGGAAUUCGAGCCAUCCCAGCUGUUCUUCUGAGGCCAUUGUCUGCCUGAAUCACCCACAGCUGUGGAUGGGGCAAUUAUAUGAGCAUAUUUAUGACAGUGAUUGCCUCCUAAAAUUCAAUCAUAGUUCAGAGGAUCCGGUCGUAUUCAUUGCACCAGCAACCAUCCGAGUUUUCCUCCUGUGUCUCAGAGAAUUUCUAUGAUCCAUGGAUUGAUGGAUUUAUUACGACUUGCAUCACCGGGGCAAUCACGAUGUCAACUCGCAGAGAGAAGUGAAGAAUCUCCUGCUCUCGGACUUGAUUGCAUUUCAGUCGACACAUCUCUCGUGGAGGGACAUGAAUGAAGUAACAAUAUCUACUGCGCCUGCACUGCAAGAUUUGAGGUAGCAAACGCAGUGGCUGUUUAAUAGGUGGAGGCAGCAAGAAACACCGAAUGCAGACGACAGACAGAUCGAUGGAUGCUGCCAGUAAUAAUUUUUAUAAGAUAUGCAGCAGAUUUGGUAACGUGGCACUCGCAACUAUUCUCCUCCGACUCGUCUUUGUGUACCUUCUUAAAUGAGAUGUCCACGUCUAGGGGUCA